GAUGAACGCUGGCGGCGUGCCUAAUACAUGCAAGUCGAGCGAACGGACGAGACGCUUGCUUCUCUGAUGUUAGCGGCGGACGGGUGAGUCACACGUGGAUAACCUCCCUAUCAGACUGGGAUAACUUCGGGAAACCGGAGCUAAUACCGGAUAAUAUUUUGAACCGCAUGGUUCAAAAGUGAAAGACGGUCUUGCUGUCACUUAUAGAUGGAUCCGCGCUGCAUUAGCUAGUUGGUAAGGUAACGGCUUACCAAGGCAACGAUGCAUAGCCGACCGGAGAGGGGGAUCGGCCACACGGGAACGUGAACACGGUCCAGACUCCUACGGGAGGCAGCAGUAGGGAAUCGUACGCAAUGGGCGAAAGCCUGACGGAGCAACGCCGCGUGAGUGAUGAAGGUCUUCGGAUCGUAAAACUCUGUUAUUAGGGAAGAACAUAUGUGUAAGUAACUGUGCACAUCUUGACGGUACCUAAUCAGAAAGCCACGGCUAACUACGUG
rnacentral:rRNA from 1 species